rnacentral:rRNA from 1 species
UACGUAGGGUGCGAGCGUUAAUCGGAAUUACUGGGCGUAAAGGGCGCGUAGGCGGUCAGCACAAGUCAGUUGUGAAAUCUCCGGGCUUAACUCGGAAAGGUCAACUGAUACUGUGCGACUAGAGUGCAGAAGGGGCAACUGGAAUUCUCGGUGUAGCGGUGAAAUGCGUAGAUAUCUGGAGGAACACCGGUGGCGAAGGCGGCAUCCUGGACCGGCAUUGACGCUAAAGCGCGAAAGCCAGGGGAGCAAACGGG